CCUACGGGUGGCAGCAGGGAGGAAUAUUGGUCAAUGGGCGCGAGCCUGAACCAGCCAAGUAGCGUGAAGGAUGACUGCCCUACGGGUUGUAAACUUCUUUUAUAAAGGAAUAAAGUGAGGCACGUGUGCCUUUUUGUAUGUACUUUAUGAAUAAGGAUCGGCUAACUCCGUGCCAGCAGCCGCGGUAAUACGGAGGAUCCGAGCGUUAUCCGGAUUUAUUGGGUUUAAAGGGAGCGUAGAUGGGUUGUUAAGGCAGCGGUAAAAUGUCCGGGCUCAACCCGGGCCGGCCGUUGAAACUGGGGAUCUUGAGUGGGCGAGAAGUAUGCGUAAUGCGUGGUGUAGCGGU
rnacentral:rRNA from 1 species